UGGACAGAUUAUUGUAUUCGACCGUAUUCACGCCGUAAAACGGGUGAUUACACUGUUUUUAAAUGGAAAGUGAAUCAAUUAACAUAAUAGACUCCU
rnacentral:pre_miRNA from 1 species